GGGUGGGUUAGUUCACUGGUUAGAGCUUCGGCCUUGUGACCGGAUGGUCCCGGGUUCGAAUCUCGCCAGGGGCA
rnacentral:tRNA from 1 species